AUGGCUGCUGAUGAUAGUAUGUCAGAGAAGAUCCAGGAAGGAAUAUCUGAAUCUUUUGCCGUAAGGGAUCGUCGGGGAUUAUCAACAAAGAAAAAUCCCAAUCCAUCAUCACGUGAUCCUGUAUAUAAACUGAGUGGAAUUGCAAUGAAAGGUGAUCGGCACAAGUUACUAGAGCGUCAUGGUAUCAAGCAGGUGGUGGAUCUCUUACAUUUGCACAGUAAGAAUCCGGAAGGUUUACGUGAAAUUUUCGGGAAGAUUUCUGACCAUGACUGGGAUAAGAUCAUUAAUCAUGCUCGUAAAUGCAAUCAAGUAGCACAAAUAUACUCUACUUCCAUUCAGGAGAAUAAUGUGCCUCAUGAGCAUGAGCCAUUUUCUAAAACCAAUGACAGUAGUUACCUCAAAGGACCAUGCUCAAUGCAACCAAGUCCCACACCACAAAAACAAAUUGAUGCCCAAGUCCAUCACCAGCAAAUUGCUUCAAGUUAUAAUGGACCAUCAUCCGGUACAUCAUCGGAAAAUGCACUGCAGGCCUCCUGCUUGGCAGCAGCACCAGGGCUCACAUUCAUGAGAUCAGACCAGCACGUGAUGCCAUAUGGAGAACUUGGGGGCAUUCAAGCUACAGGCCAGCAAGUUACAUGCAUAGGAAGUGAGAUUCUGUCAGCUAGCACCAUGAAUAACAAUAUCUUAGAUGGAUCUAACUCAGAGCAAGUAGGGCCUCUGGAUGGCAACAUAAUUCCUAAUGGGAACAGACUACCCACUGGCAUUGAUCUUUCACAGUGGCUGGAUAUCCUGCAGAACCAGACAUUUGAUGACUCUGUAGUCACAGAAACUCCUCCUUGGGGAGUUUCCAACAAUGCACUUGAUUCGACUGUCUGCGAAGCUGGAAAUAUGCUUGAUUCGCCUUUCAGUGAUGCUAGUAUAAGCUAUGUGGGACAUUCACCUGUCAGUGAAACAGGCAGGGGACGUUCAUCUUUACCUUUCAGGGGAGCAAGCAGUAGAAGCUACAGGGGACAUUCUGCUUCGCCACUCAGGGGAGCAGGCACUAAAAGCUACCGGCGACAUUCUGCUUCACCACUCAGGGUAGAAGGCCCUAGAAGCUACGAGGGACAUAAUCCUUCACCUGUGUCGGGAGCAGGCAGUACAAGUUAUGCAAGUGCAGAUUUCACAGGCGGAGACAUCUUAUGGUAG
rnacentral:rRNA from 1 species